rnacentral:misc_RNA from 1 species
GUCGCACAUCAAUAUUGUGACACUCAAAGGACUAUCAAUUGGCAAGCAAACAAAGUACAAUAGAAAAACUAAAUAAUUGAUGAGCACAUAUAUGAAUAUAAAUAAAUGACUCCAUACCAAAUUUGGUUGUUGCAAUUGACACUAAUAUGAGAAAAUGUAUAUAUAAUUUACAAAAUUACAAUUUUUUUAAAAAAAAUGAAAGUUUACUUUUUGUUAUCAUUAAUUAAAA